AGAACGAACGCUGGCGGCAUGCCUAACACAUGCAAGUCGAACGCGUGUAGCGAUACACGAGUGGCGGACGGGUGAGUAACGCGUGGGAACCUGCCCUGGAGUGGGGGAUAACCGAUGGAAACGUCGGCUAAUACCGCAUACGACCUGAGGGUGAAAGAUUUAUCGCUCUAGGAGGGGCCCGCGUCGGAUUAGCUAGUUGGUGAGGUAAUGGCUCACCAAGGCUAUGAUCCGUAGCUGGUCUGAGAGGAUGAUCAGCCACACUGGGACUGAGACACGGCCCAGACUCCUACGGGAGGCAGCAGUGGGGAAUAUUGGACAAUGGGGGCAACCCUGAUCCAGCAAUGCCGCGUGAGUGAUGAAGGCCUUAGGGUUGUAAAGCUCUUUCGCCCACGACGAUGAUGACGGUAGUGGAGAAGAAGCCCGGCUAACUUCGUGCCAGCAGCCGC
rnacentral:rRNA from 1 species